AUGCUAAGUGAUCAGAUUCUCUCAUCUCAUGCACAGAAAAAUCUGUGGCAGCCCUUGAAGGAAACGUAUUUGCAUCUACUUCAACCGAUGGAUGAGGAGUGUGCAGGACAGAGAGAGAUAUGUCCAGGAGGAAUUAAUAAUCCCAACUACUUUCUUCACUGCAUUUGUAAAAUGGCUUUAGAAGAAAGUUUCUUAGUUACUCUGGGAUAUUUUUCUGUGCAAUCAGGGCUUCCAGUAGGAGUACUUCAUUGCCAAAAAUACGACACGACCUCAUGCUUGCCAGCCCUCAUUUGA
rnacentral:lncRNA from 1 species